UAGGGAAUCUUCGGCAAUGGACGGAAGUCUGACCGAGCAACGCCGCGUGAGUGAAGAAGGUUUUCGGAUCGUAAAGCUCUGUUGUAAGAGAAGAACGAGUGUGAGAGUGGAAAGUUCACACUGUGACGGUAUCUUACCAGAAAGGGACGGCUAACUACGUGCCAGCAGCCGCGGUAAUACGUAGGUCCCGAGCGUUGUCCGGAUUUAUUGGGCGUAAAGCGAGCGCAGGCGGUUAGAUAAGUCUGAAGUUAAAGGCUGUGGCUUAACCAUAGUAGGCUUUGGAAACUGUUUAACUUGAGUGCAAGAGGGGAGAGUGGAAUUCCAUGUGUAGCGGUGAAAUGCGUAGAUAUAUGGAGGAACACCGGUGGCGAAAGCGGCCCUCUGGCUUGUAACUGACGCUGAGGCUCGAAAGCGUGGGGAGCAAACAGGAUUAGAUACCCUGGUAGUCCACGCUGUAAACGAUGAGUGCUAGGUGUUAGACCCUUUCCGGGGUUUAGUGCCGUAGCUAACGCAUUAAGCACUCCGCCUGGGGAGUACGACCGCAAGGUUG
rnacentral:rRNA from 1 species